UUUCCUACGGGGGGCAGCAGUGGGGAAUAUUGCACAAUGGGCGCAAGCCUGAUGCAGCCAUGCCGCGUGUAUGAAGAAGGCCUUCGGGUUGUAAAGUACUUUCAGCGAGGAGGAAGGCGGUGAGGUUAAUAACCUCAUCGAUUGACGUUACUCGCAGAAGAAGCACCGGCUAACUCCGUGCCAGCAGCCGCGGUAAUACGGAGGGUGCAAGCGUUAAUCGGAAUUACUGGGCGUAAAGCGCACGCAGGCGGUCUGUCAAGUCGGAUGUGAAAUCCCCGGGCUCAACCUGGGAACUGCAUUCGAAACUGGCAGGCUAGAGUCUUGUAGAGGGGGGUAGAAUUCCAGGUGUAGCGGUGAAAUGCGUAGAGAUCUGGAGGAAUACCGGUGGCGAAGGCGGCCCCCUGGACAAAGACUGACGCUCAGGUGCGAAAGCGUGGGGAGCAAACAGGAUUAGAUACCCGUGUAGUC
rnacentral:rRNA from 1 species